UACGGAGGGGGCUAGCGUUGUUCGGAAUUACUGGGCGUAAAGCGCACGUAGGCGGCUUUGCAAGUCAGAGGUGAAAGCCCGGGGCUCAACCCCGGAAUUGCCUUUGAGACUGCAUCGCUAGAAUUGUGGAGAGGUAAGUGGAAUUCCGAGUGUAGAGGUGAAAUUCGUAGAUAUUGGGAAGAACACCGGUGGCGAAGGCGGCGACCUGGUCCUUAACUGACGCUGAGGCGCGAAAGCGUGGGGAGCAAACAGG
rnacentral:rRNA from 1 species